GCCUGAGCUCGUUUUGUGGUUUGUUGUUCUGCUGUGCCAUAAUGUGUGUUACGAGUCUCCCUCUUUUCGCCAUCCUUCUUGCUGUUAUCUCUCACUCGUUCGGUUCUCCGGUGGCGCACGAGUACCGAAGAGACACCGGAGUCGUCCUGAUGCGAGCUGAUAAUCCGGAUCCAGCGUUCCAUACUUCACUUCAUCACCCUAUGAAGGCUAUGCUGUGGGAUGGAGAUUACUUGGAAGAUUCAUCUGGCGCAGGAAUGCCAAGUUGAAACCGGAUGGGGGGAAAGGCAGAAGUCUUCAGGAUGGGAGAAUGUGCUUUGUCGUCUCAGUGACCUGGAAAGGGGCAUGGGGGCAUAUUCCAUCUCCUCCAUGUUGCCACACCUCAUCUGUGCAUGAGUUCAUGGGUGACUUCUUGGUGCUGAAUAAAUAUCAAAUUCCUGAAAA